CCUACGGGUGGCAGCAGUGAGGAAUAUUGGUCAAUGGACGAGAGUCUGAACCAGCCAAGCAGCGUGAAGGAUGACUGCCCUAUGGGUUGUAAACUGCUUUUAUAUGGGAAUAAAAUGCUCUACGGGUGGGAUUUUGUAUGUACGAUAUGAAUAAGGAUCGGCUAACUCCGUGCCAGCAGCCGCGGUAAUACGGAGGAUCCGAGCGUUAUCCGGAUUUAUUGGGUUUAAAGGGGGCGUAGGUGGUUUGUUAAGUUAGUUGUGAAAGUUUGCGGCUCAACCGUAAAGUUGCCGUUGAUACUGGCAGACUAGAGAUCGGUAGAGGUAGGCGGAAUGCGUAGUGUAGCGGUGAAAUGCUUAGAUAUCACGCAGAACACCGAUUGCGAAGGCAGCUUACUGGGCCGCAACUGACACUGAGGCACGAAAGUGUGGGGAUCGAACAGGAUUAGAUACCCGAGUAGUC
rnacentral:rRNA from 1 species